rnacentral:rRNA from 1 species
GACGAACGCUGGCGGCGUGCUUAACACAUGCAAGUCGAACGGAAAGGCCCUGCUUUUGUGAGGUGCUCGAGUGGCGAACGGGUGAGUAACACGUGAGUAACCUGCCCUUGACUUUGGGAUAACUUCAGGAAACUGGGGCUAAUACCGGAUAGGAGCUCCUGCUGCAUGGUGGGGGUUGGAAAGUUUCGGCGGUUGGGGAUGGACUCGCGGCUUAUCAGCUUGUUGGUGGGGUAGUGGCUUACCAAGGCUUUGACGGGUAGCCGGCCUGAGAGGGUGACCGGCCACAUUGGGACUGAGAUACGGCCCAGACUCCUACGGGAGGCAGCAGUGGGGAAUAUUGCACAAUGGGCGGAAGCCUGAUGCAGCAACGCCGCGUGCGGGAUGACGGCCUUCGGGUUGUAAACCGCUUUCGCCUGUGACGAAGCGUGAGUGACGGUAAUGGGGAAAGAAGCACCGGCUAACUACGU